rnacentral:tRNA from 1 species
GAGGGUAUAGCUCAAGUGGUAGAGCACAUGUCUUCCAUGCCUGAGGCCCUGGGUUCAAUCCCCAGUACCGCCA